AGAAACACUUAAUGUCAACAAGAUUUUCUGAUUGACAAGAGAAAAGGUCAAACAGGAACUUCAAUUGUGAACAUUGCAGAGAACACACCCAUCAGAAGAUGACCCUCAGAAAUAGGACAAUUAAUGAAUAAAAUGGACAGAGGCAGAACUGAAGGAGAUGCAUGAAAUGAGGAAUAUUUCAAAGAUUGCCUGAGCAUAACCACUGCUACUGGAUAAACAUAUGGCAAUAUAAAAGAGCAGGGUCAAUGGAGGUAUCAUACAGUAUAGGCCAUGAGAGACCCUGAAGAAGAAAGUAUUGAACAGAAACAAAAAUAAAACCAUUUUGACAUUUAUUGAAAUAUAGGAUCAAAGUCUUACAUGUAAAAUUUGGGCAUGUAAUGACUUUUCUCUAGCUCUAAGACUUAUAACAGUGAUGAUUUGAUUUAAUAUCUUUAUCCCGAUUUGUCGAAAAGAUUUGGACAUAGUGCAUCAAUUAUUUUAAAGUUUUGAUACAACGAAUUCAUUCAUUGUACUUGUAACUGAGUUUUCUGGUGCGACACUGUUUUAUCGGCUUCAAAACUAAGUUUGUGAUUUCCAAACCAGAUUAAUGAGAUCAUGUAAUAUCUUUUAACAUCGGUGACUAUUUAAUCCAUUCUUUUACAUCCCAGAAGUAUUUUUAUUAUUACAGGGAAAAUAUGUAUUGUACAUGUAUCUGUAAUAAACAGGAUUAUAGAAAUUUUCCAUAUAAUACAACACAAUCUUAGCAACUGAAGGCAAAUAUUUUAUCAAGGGUGUGAUCUAUUUAUCAAUAUGGUUUUCAGCAUCUUGCUCUACCUGUAAUGACUUGCUCCAAGUUCCAAUAUUUAAAUUUAAAUUUUGCAAACAUGGUUAUAAAAUUCUUUAAAAGCCAAAUAGUUUAGGCACAAAAUGCUUAUAUAUUUCCUAUCAUUUGUAAAGUGUACACUGAAUGAGAUGUGGAAUGUUAGAAUUAAAGUAUUAAAUAUG